UUAAUUGCAUUGUGUGUCUUAUUCGCUCUAAUUUCAGUUCAUAUUUAUAUUUGGAUAUUAGUAUUUAUUAUCAUCUGAAUAAUAUCCGAAUAUAAGUCGAACUCAUAUUUGAAUCGGAAUCUCUUUUUAACGGAAAUAACAACAAAAAUUUAACAUCUGACAUAUAUCCGCGUCCGAAUUUGUAUCUGAAGGAAAAUAUG
rnacentral:lncRNA from 1 species